UAUGGCCCUAUCACGUUGAAACACCGGUUCCCGUGCGAUCACGGAAGUUAAGCGAAGUUGAACCUAGUUAAUACCUAGAUGGGUGACCGUUUGGGAAUACCAGGUGCUGUAAG